GUUUUUAUUAGGAGAGGUCAGUUAUUCCGAGGGGCAGAUUUUUCUAUCAACUGAUCAAGAAAUCUGCUGGAAGCUUUGCCAUCUUAGGAAUCCAGGUUGAAAGAAAACCAUGCAAAAUGCGGCUCUGGGAGAGUGAGUUCCUUUCUGAACAGGGCUGGCCCUGAUUUGACCCUGCCUCUCCAAGGUCCCAGCAACUCUUGGACGGAAAACCGAAAUGUUAUACAUAUUUGUCAUUCUAGUUUCCCAGCCUUUAAACAUCCUUCCCAUUUGGGGGGAACCCCAGAAUAGAGGGAAGGCAAGACCCCGAUUCCUACUUUAGAAGCCAAAGAGGGCAGAGAGUUUCUAUCUGUGCCCCAGAAACUAGGAAACCAGCACAUCACUUGGGCUCAGCCCAUCAGAGACCCCAUCAUGUCAUCUAGGACCUGAAGCCUGUGGGGAGGCAGAAGUCAUUUGCAGUGGCUGUGGUGGAUUUGAGUGCCCGCAAGCAUAGCAACCAAUGCCUGAUCAGAGCCCAGCAGCAUUAUGACACGUGUCCAGCAGUGACAGCAGCAGCGGCGCACCCUAAGUGGACUAUCCCUCUGGCAAGAUCUUGGCUGUGUCCUGCCUCCCUCAAUUUUUAUUCAUUUUCAUCACCUGGUUCUCUAGCCUUCCCACUGAUUCUGUGAGCUGCACAACACUCUUCCAAUAAGUUCACUUUCCGCUCAAGUCAACUAGGAGAGAUUUUGCUUGGUAGCAACCAAGAAUUCCGACUGGUCUGCCAACGUCCUCCCAUGGACACAUGAUCCAGUAACAAGAGCUGUCCGCACUCCAAGGACAGACACAGAGGACCUUAGAAGACAAGCGCUAUGGAACCCCAAGCAAACCAAGAUAACUGACUAGAAGUGGGAGGAACAACCGACGGCUUCUCCGCAGGCAGGUGGAUGUGUCCACUUAAGCACGAAUGAAAAGUAUAGAAACUUAAUGUUGAUUCUUUUUUAAAAAUAAAGUUUAUUUUGUUUUUCAGCUGAAAUAUAGAAAUAAUUCAUGUUCAUUGUUGAAGAUAUGGG
rnacentral:lncRNA from 1 species